rnacentral:rRNA from 1 species
GAUGAACGCUGGCGGCGUGCCUAAUACAUGCAAGUCGAGCGAACAGACGAGGAGCUUGCUUUUCUGACGUUAGCGGCGGACGGGUGAGUAACACGUGGAUAACCUACCUAUAAGACUGGGAUAACUUCGGGGAACCGGAGCUAAUACCGGAUAAUAUUUUGAACCGCAUGGUUCAAUAGUGAAAGACGGUCUUGCUGUCACUUAUAGAUGGAUCCGCGCUGCAUUAGCUAGUUGGUAAGGUAACGGCUUACCAAGGCGACGAUGCGUAGCCGACCUGAGAGGGUGAUCGGCCACACUGGAACUGAGACACGGUCCAGACUCCUACGGGAGGCAGCAGUAGGGAAUCUUCCGCAAUGGGCGAAAGCCUGACGGAGCAACGCCGCGUGAGUGAUGAAGGUCUUCGGAUCGUAAAACUCUGUUAUUAGGGAAGAACAAAUGUGUAAGUAACUGUGCACAUCUUGACGGUACCUAAUCAGAAAGCCACGGCUAACUACGUG